rnacentral:rRNA from 1 species
GACGUAGGGUGCAAGCGUUGUCCGGAAUCAUUGGGCGUAAAGAGCGUGUAGGCGGUCCGGUAAGUCCGCUGUGAAAGUCGGGGGCUCAACCCUCGAAUGCCGGUGGAUACUGUCGGGCUAGAGUGCGGAAGAGGCGAGUGGAAUUCCUGGUGUAGCGGUGAAAUGCGCAGAUAUCAGGAGGAACACCGGUGGCGAAGGCGGGUCUCUGGGCCGAUACUGACGCUGAGGAGCGAAAGCGUGGGGAGCGAACAGG